rnacentral:tRNA from 1 species
GCACGCUUAGCUCAGUUGGUAGAGCGACUCGUUUACACCGAGAAGGUCGGGGGUUCAAGUCCCUCAGCGUGCA